UACGUAGGGGGCAAGCGUUGUCCGGAAUUAUUGGGCGUAAAGCGCGUGUAGGCGGUCCGCUAAGUCUGCUGUGAAAGUCCAGGGCUCAACCCUGGAAUGCCGGUGGAUACUGUCGGGCUAGAGUUCGGAAGAGGCAAGUGGAAUUCCUGGUGUAGCGGUGGAAUGCGCAGAUAUCAGGAGGAACACCUAUAGCGAAGGCAGCUUGCUGGGACGACACUGACGCUAAGGCGCGAAAGCGUGGGGAGCGAACAGG
rnacentral:rRNA from 1 species